GUUGAAUUCGAACUAAAGACCGUUUUGAUCAGCGGCACCUGCACCAUUGACCAUCACUGCCACCGUUCUACCGCCAUCUUCUUACCUGUGAAAACGUUGAUACAACAGCGGAUUACAACGAAACAAAUUGCAAUUUUAGCACGUGAACAUAUGUCACAAAUAAAAAACAAAAGUUAUGCGUAAACUUGACAAUAUUGCAACAUCAAGAAAUAUUAGUUGAGGUAUUAUUUAAGACUAUCAUUUAUUUAUUUUAAAUUUGAUUAAAAUUAAUGUAAAGAAGGAAGAAGUAAAAAUUUAAUGAAAAACGGAAGAAAUAAAAAUAAAAUGGAGUCAAACAAAGAUCACAAGAUUAUCGUUAUUAAAUUUGCGAAUUAUUUAACCAAAUUUGGAUUCAGUUUAGUUUGCAAGGAUAUAGACAAGGGUCAAGAUUCACAGCUGAACCCGCAGCCUUUCUUUUGCGAAUAAUGGAUUAUUUUUAUCGGGAAGAUAACCAUAAAGGUACAAAUUAUCACCAUACGGGUUACAUCCGCAGAUAGAUUAUAUAGUAAUAUAGUAAUAUAGUGUAUAGUAAAUUAUAUAGAAAAAAAACAUCAUUCUACUGCGAGUGUCAAUGAUUUAUUUCUUUUGCAUUACAUCACUCCUACCACCGCAUUUAAAGUUUAAUACUUAAACCUGUUCUAAGAAAACCACCAUCAAUUGGGUGGAGUAGGCACCUUCUUCAGUACCUCUUUGACGAAUUUAACUUUUAUAUUAUUCUCCGUUGAGCUCGUUACGCUCCUUACAAAAAUCGUGGAAAUGAAACGUUAGGCGAGAUACAAUUAUAUGUAUAUACACACGGUUAUAUCUAUCAAUAUAUUUAUAUGUAUAUACACAUACGAUCCGCAAUGGGAUCGAGCGAGAACCACGGCUUUGCCAGGACGAAGGAGAAUUUCUUUCGGAACACAGGCAAGGCAUUCUGUGACCUUUCGCUAAGGGUGGAAGUUCCGGAGAGAAGAAUAGAAACAUGCUCACGUAGUGAUACACUUUCGUGACACGAUGUUAAAAAGUUUAAAAUUUAAGUCUUCCAUUCGAUAGGUUACUUACUGAUAGAAUGGCAAGUCAAUUGUCAAAACACCCCUACUCGCUAUGCAUAAGAAUACUCUUUGCGACACGGUAUAGCUCUAAGCAAGAUAGUGGCGCCAAUAAAUAUCGUCAUCGAUGAAUUUUACUAACUACACUAGAUUCGAGUGCAGUGACCCGCUCUAUACAAGAAAUCAGAGUGGGAGUCCAAAUGACAAUAAAAAAGAAAGAAAA